rnacentral:rRNA from 1 species
UAAGGAAUAUUGGUCAAUGGACGCAAGUCUGAACCAGCCAUGCCGCGUGGAGGAUGAAGGUCCUCUGGAUUGUAAACUUCUUUUAUCGGAGAAGAAACCCACGAAUUCUUUUGUGGUUGACGGUACCCGAUGAAUAAGCACCGGCUAACUCCGUGCCAGCAGCCGCGGUAAUACGGAGGGUGCAAGCGUUAUCCGGAUUCACUGGGUUUAAAGGGWGCGUAGGUGGGCUGGUAAGUCAGUGGUGAAAUCUCCGGGCUUAACUCGGAAACUGCCGUUGAUACUAUCWGUCUUGAAUGUUGUGGAGGUAAGCGGAAUAUGUCAUGUAGCGGUGAAAUGCUUAGAUAUGACAUAGAACACCGAUAGCGAAGGCAGCUUGCUACACWAUGAUUGACACUGAGGCUCGAAAGCGUGGGGAUCAAACAGGAUUAGAUACCCUGGUAGUCCACGCCCUAAACGAUGGAUACUCGACAUACGCGAUACACAGUGUGUGUCUGAGCGAAAGCAUUAAGUAUCCCACCUGGGAAGUACGACCGCAAGGUUG